ACAAAGAGCCGAGGGGAGAGAGGGUGCGCAGACGGCCAGCCGGGCCGCGCCAGGGACAUACUGGAGACAGGAAGUGGCUGAGAGGGGGAGAGAGUUGGAGAGAGACGGCCGCGGAGGACACGGGGACGGGAAAGUCUGAGAGACGGGGAGAGCCUGACCCGGCGGGACACAGGCAGAAAGAAACACGCGAGCCAGACAGACGCAGAAGAAACGUGCCUGGUACUGGAUAGGAACUUCAUGGAAUGGAGCUAAUGGGCCGUAGGGCAGGUUUGAGUCGUGCCACCCUGGAGCAGAAGGUGGAGGGUAGGGAUAAGGGGGUGGAGCACCUGAUUCCAAUCUUGCCACAGGGAAGAAGAGUCUGUGAAGAAGUGCGUGAUGACUCAUUCCUUAGGGUCUUUGGCUGGGCUCUGGGAUGGAUGCCAUGGGAGUACCUUUACUUAAGCUCUAAAGUUACCAAUGGAGAGACUGGGACUCAAAGAGGAACUUGAUUGGACCCCAGAGAGACCUCAUUAUUGCACAGCUGAGAGUGGCUUGAAACAAAGGCUUGGAGAAUGGUGGAGAGAAACUAGGAGAAAAGCACAGGAUGUAGAGGUCUAUUCGGCAUAAUCUUCUCCCUCAUUUUCAUCUUCACCAUCAACAGAGAGAGCAGCAUACUUGCUUGCAGAACUGAACUUCUGUAACACAACGAGAGUGACAGGAUAAUGAAGGCCCUGAAUUAUCACAUCAAAACCCAAGACACAGGAUACUGAUCCUUUGGCAAUGGGGGAUGACAGUCAGAUGACACCCACUUGCUUGCUCAUCAGCAUUGUCCAUUGGAGAGGAGCUAGGGAAGAGGGUCAGAGGCACAUGCGAUCUUACUAUAGUCUCAUACCACCUCUACACCUUGCAGAAGGGAUGAGAACAAAGGAAGACAGAAACCAGGAAAAAGCUAAACUUCUUUCGCUAUUUCAGUAAAGACCAAUGUCUUAUUUCCAAACACUUUGUAUUCCAAAUGGAAAGAAGUCCAACGGCAAAAAGUUUAGAAUACUAAGAAUUUUUAAUUCUUAGUAAGAAUACUUAGAAUUCUAAGAAUUUUUCUUAGAAUGAAAAAUUGGGAGCAGCCUUCAACACUUACGGAAGCUGGAUUUUCCUCAGGUUUCUUUGGCUCAGGUGCAGAUCUGGAGUCUUGAUCCUUUUUGCCAUCUUUCCUGCAGAGACGUAAGCAUAAAACCAUGUCUUUAGGAAAGGACUCGCCUAAUACAAACAUGUGUAUGCAUGCAGUUUCAAGGCACUGAACAGGCACCUCUAGUCAACAGUCCUUGUUGUCUGGAUGAUGUAUUACUUCUAGAUUUUCAGAAUCUUAACUGUCUACGUUGGCUGACUUUAGUUUGCUCACAAUGAGCGAUCUGGCAGUGCUCUGAGAACCAAGAACUUAAUUUCUUAAUUACACAAACAUGUGGAUCAGAGGAAAGAUGAGAAAGAGAACAAGCAUACCUAUCUGACUCCUUCCAGUGGUCUCUGUUCCCUCCGUCGCCUGGACCACGGCUAGAGUUCCCAGUUUGGCCUUUUGGGGCAUUCAUCCCAUCUACUUUAUUUUCAUCUGCUUGGGCAGUAAUGUAAACAAAUUAAAGGCAAGUAAAAGUAUCAAUGUCCCUCUCCUAAGAUUUCCCUUAAGCUGAAGAAAAUUGUGCCCACAUGUACUGAGGGAAACUAACCUCACCCCAACCCAGACUUCCUUCCUGAAGCCCUUCUUUCCACAUCCUCUACAGCACACAAAAAUACAAAAAACAAACAAAAUCCACUAAAAAGUUCCAUGUAGGGAUAUGCCAUCAUGAAAAGCAAGCUGGAAAUAAAGAUUAUGACGCUCUG
rnacentral:lncRNA from 1 species